AGAGGCUGAAAACAAGUCCAUGUGGCUAGAGCCGGGGAGGGCUAAGUGUCACCAGAUACACCUAGAGCCAGAGACAGAAUGCCUGCACCAAGACCCAUCUCAUCUGUCUUGGCUUCUGCUCCUCUGAAUACCCGUGGCUCUGUGGUUCCUGUUGACUGUCUUCUUGCUGCUUUUGGCUCUUUCCCAUUCUCUAUUGUGUAUAUGUGUCUUUGAAUACCUCACAUUUAGAUUGUCAAGAUAGAUUAUCUGGUUGGGCCAGAUAGCUAAUAUUCAUGAUAAGUGUGACUCUAGGCAGGGUUUUCACAGACCUGAAUCCUAAGUUUCCUAUUGAGAUAACUGCCUUUAUAUGAAUUGUCCAUCCCAGUUCAUUCUGCUAUAGCCAUGAUUGUGGGUUCGCUGCUAUGUAAACCCAGUACAGAGGAACAUCUGUAUUAGUCGAGGAUCUCUAAAGGAACAAAACGUAGACUCAGGCUGUGGUCCAGCUAGUCCAGCAAUGACUAUCUACCAACGGAAGGUUCCAGAACCCAGUAUUUUGUUCAGCCCAUGAGGCUGGAUGUCUCAACUGCUCUUUAGAAUACAUUAGAAUCCCAAAGAAGUAGACUUUAAUGUCAGUGAAGGAAUGAACUUGCCACAGAUAGCAAUGGGCAAAGAUCAAAUGCUUUCUUCUUUCAUAUUCUUUACAUAGGCUGCCAUUAGAAGGUAUGGCCCAGAUUAAAGGUGAUCUUCACAACCCAAAGGGCCAGAUUAAAAGUGCAUCUUCCCAAUUCAAAUGGUUUAAUUAAGAAAAAGUCCUUCACAGAUGUGCCCAGACACUUGGUUUUAGUUAAUUGCAGAUAUAGUCAAGUAGAAAACCAAGAAUAGCCACCACAACCUUAGAAAGGAGAAACACUCAUAUCCUGCUCAAUCCGGUCUGAAAUAAACUUGGAAUCAGUCUGGGGCCUUUGAAUGCUUGCUUGUGUAUUUGCUUCUUUUCACAGUGCUACGGGUCAUACUCAAGGCCUUGAGGGUGUUAGUAAAGUCCUCUAUUACUGCCCUAAAUCUCCAAGCCAAUUCUUGUUCGUUUGUCUGUUCAUGAAAGACUUUCCCUGUGUAGCUCAGACCAGCUUAGGAGUUACAAUCCUGUGAGUUGCUACCCUUGUCUUCUAAGUACUGAAAUUACAGCCACCAUACGCAGCUCAACUUGAGACCCCCCAGUGAGUGGUUUAAAUUGUUAUAGGCCAUAUUUGUUAAGAACUUUUUUUAGAAAAAAAAAACAAAAAUUAAUUAAUUAAAAGAACUUUUUUAGGAGCAGAAGAGACGGUUUAGCAAUUAAAAGCAUUUGUUGUUCUUGCAACCUGUGCAGAUUUAAUUCCCACCACCCAACAGGAGCUUACAAACAUCCCUAAUUCCAGUUCCAAGGGAUCCAGUGCCCUCUUUUGACUCACACUGAUACCCAGCAAACUCGUGGUACACAAACAUGCAGGUAGACAAAGCACUCACACAUAAAACAAAGUGAAUAAGUCUAAUAAAGUUUGUUAAAAGUUACUUUUCUGAACAUAUGUAUUAUUAAAUUCAGAUCAGCUAAGAUAGUCAUGGUUUCUUAGUGAUGUUAAAUAACUUAUGUGUUAGAUAGCUUCUGCUUUAACAUGGCCAUCAAAUACCAGGAAAUAAUGAGAUACAUUGAGAAUUUCUGUCCUCAGUGAGUUGUAGCGUCACAGGUGUUGAAGACACACCAAGUAAGCCAAGAGUUAUGGUGGUUUGCUUUGUUAUGAAGAGGUGAGUGCAGGGCUCUCAGAAGAGGCAGUAGAUUCUUUGAGCUUAAUCGAUAAUGGCAGUUGAUGAACAGAACACAACAGUGAGGGAUUGGCAGGCAGAAGAAACAUUAUGUGCAGGGUCACUGAAGAGUGACAGAACAUGGCACACUGGGGACCUGAAAAGUAUUCAGAAUGGUUGGCUUCCGAGCCGGGGAGAGGUGCAGGGUGGAUAAAUGUGGAUUUCACAGCGCUGUUAGCAUCCAUAGCUCCCACUUUGUGUGUGUGCCAUGUGCUGCACAGAAGCCUGCUGUCUGUCGACAAAGUGUUUGUUGCAGGGUGUUUAAUGCUCGAAGCUUUGUGGGUCAGAGCUGCAAUGACAUUGGAGCUUCUGUUUUGUGCACUUUCUGCGAGUCCCCUUGAAUAUAAGCUAACCUGGUAAGAGAUGCUUGAGUCUAAUUUUAAAAAUAUUAAGAUUUCUCACAACAUUAGACACUUUUCACUUUUUUGUGUAUUUAAAUACUUCACAGUAAAAAGUUGUAAAUUGUGAGAAUUCUAUCAUAGCAUAACUAGAUUGCCAGAAAAAAAGCAAUUCUCUUUUCUGUCUGCUUGAUAAACAUUGACCAGUUUGGAUGUUAGAAUAAUUACAUUAGCAUCUCACCUGACAGAUCUUCAAAAGUCCAAACAACUUUCCUGACAAUUUGUAAUAUCUAAAUAGCACUUUUACCACAUUUGUUCAAAGAAAGCAUGAGAACUCAGAUCUGAAAUUGGAGGAAAAUGUCUAAAGAUAAAAGAAAGUAUAAGUGUGACCAGUUACAAAAUUGUCACAGUGCAGAAAAUUGCAAAAGAAGUUAAUAUUCUAGUUUCUACAAACUAGAGUCAUUAUAACUUUUUUGCCCAGCCCCCAUUCAAAAACAAACAAACAAACAAAAACCAGCAAAGAGAAAAAUGUAAGAUUUUUAGAGUUUGCCAGAGAAAUUGGUAAACACAGCCAAAAGAUACAGCGCUUACACCUGGAGACAUUCAUGCUUCAGACAAAACCAAAACCGCUUUCCCGGCUCCCCUUCCUCGGUCCACACCUUGGAGAGUGCUUUUGCAAAGGACUCCAUCUGCAGCUCUGAACAUUUUUGUAAGUUCAAACUGCUAAGUGUUUCACCCACCAAAGUGAUUGAAGUGCCCUUCGUAAGGAGUAAUAGACUGGAUAGAAUCUGGUCCGGUCUCCACCCUCAUGCCCUACCAGUUCUGAAGGACACAGGUAAUAAAAUAGACCAGCUUCAAAGUACUUGCCACAGUGUAAGACAAUGCAAAGGACACAAGUGGCUCUCUUGGGUGAGUUUAUAAUUUUUAACUAGUAAUGACUUACUGUUUAUGUAUAUUAUUGUGACAAACCCCCUGUUUCCUUGUUAAGAUCCUUUCUUCACUGUAGUCACAGCAAUGAUUUCUGAAGCGCUAAUUUAAUGAUCUGGCAUCUUCGCAGAAAACCCUCAAAUGGCAUGUCAUUGUUCUCAGACCAGGGCCCAAAAGCCGUAUAAUUUGUCUGACCUAGCCUUGUUAAUCUGGCUCCCACCCCUCCCUUACUGUUCUCAUCUUUCACCUUCCCUCCUCACAACACAUGCACUGACACCCUGGACCCAUAGCCCACUAUGCCUCAUUGAUAUCCAUGGCCUUGCUUUCUCAUGGGCCUCUGCUGUUCACCAGUCACUCGGAGGUUAGUUUGUAGUAUCUGUUAAAUGAAAGUAACCAUAAGACAAUGAAAUAGGGAAAGCACUAAGAGAAGUCAGAACAAAGGAGGACUAACUGUACUCUAUUUUAAGACAAGGAAGUGUCCUUACAGUCUUCACUGCAGAUGAAGAGCAACGGGGCUGUUGCUCUAGACCUGGGCCUUGAGGUCAGAGGUGUUAAUUUGGCUAAUAUCUAUGAUACAAGUUACAGCCAAGAACACAGGCAAUGGCUUUUAGUUCAGUGAAGGAUUGUAUGAGGUUCUUCAUGCAUUUGUUGAUAAUGUCAUUUCUAGUGAUUAGGACCAGAGAUCUUGUGUGUGUGUGUUUUUCUCUAAAAAGAGUGAUAUUCUCUGACCUCACAAGCAUUCUGUGAGAUUAGCUCAUAUUUUCCUUAUCGUAAGCAAACUUAAG
rnacentral:lncRNA from 1 species